rnacentral:lncRNA from 1 species
CUCCAACUCAAGCUCUCAUAUAUUAUCAAUAAGCUUUUCCAUGUCUUCUUGUAAUAUGGGCUUGGGUUCGGGUUCCAAUGAUGAAGGGUCAUAAAGGAAAGGCAUCUUGACAAUCCUAGCUCUUUCUUUUACCCAUACAAAGUAGGGCUCCUUGGCUAGGAUGUUCUUUUUGCCUCACUCUUGGUCGAUUUGGAUCAUGCUUGUCCAAGCUUUCUUCACUCUCUUCACGAAUGAAUUGAAUGGAUCCAUGGUGUUAA